rnacentral:rRNA from 1 species
CCUACGGGGGGCAGCAGUGGGGAAUAUUGGGCAAUGGGCGCAAGCCUGACCCAGCAACGCCGCGUGAAGGAAGAAGGCUUUCGGGUUGUAAACUUCUUUUCUCAGGGACGAAGAAAGUGACGGUACCUGAGGAAUAAGCCACGGCUAACUACGUGCCAGCAGCCGCGGUAAUACGUAGGUGGCAAGCGUUAUCCGGAUUUACUGGGUGUAAAGGGCGUGUAGGCGGGACUGCAAGUCAGAUGUGAAAACCACGGGCUCAACCUGUGGCCUGCAUUUGAAACUGUAGUUCUUGAGUACUGGAGAGGCAGACGGAAUUCCUAGUGUAGCGGUGAAAUGCGUAGAUAUUAGGAGGAACACCAGUGGCGAAGGCGGCCUGCUAAACGACAACUGACGGUGAGGCGCGAAAGCGUGGGGAGCAAACAGGAUUAGAUACCCCUGUAGUC